rnacentral:rRNA from 1 species
AGAGCGAACGCUGGCGGCAGGCCUAACACAUGCAAGUCGAACGGACCCUUCGGGGUUAGUGGCGGACGGGUGAGUAACACGUGGGAACGUGCCUUUUGGUUCGGAAUAGCUCCUGGAAACGGGUGGUAAUGCCGAAUGUGCCCUUCGGGGGAAAGAUUUAUCGCCAUUAGAGCGGCCCGCGUCUGAUUAGCUAGUUGGUGAGGUAAAGGCUCACCAAGGCUACGAUCAGUAGCUGGUCUGAGAGGAUGACCAGCCACAUUGGGACUGAGACACGGCCCAAACUCCUACGGGAGGCAGCAGUGGGGAAUCUUGCGCAAUGGGCGAAAGCCUGACGCAGCCAUGCCGCGUGAAUGAUGAAGGUCUUAGGAUUAGUAAAAUUCUUUCACCGGGGACGAUAAUGACGGUACCCGGAGAAGAGCCCGGCUAACUCGUGCCAGCAGCCGC